rnacentral:rRNA from 1 species
UACGUAGGGGGCUAGCGUUGUCCGGAAUCAUUGGGCGUAAAGAGCGUGUAGGCGGUCCGGUAAGUCCGCUGUGAAAGUCGGGGGCUCAACCCUCGAAUGCCGGUGGAUACUGUCGGGCUAGAGUGCGGAAGAGGCGAGUGGAAUUCCUGGUGUAGCGGUGAAAUGCGCAGAUAUCUGGAGGAACACCGAUGGCGAAGGCAGCUCGCUGGGACGGUACUGACGCUGAGACGCGAAAGCGUGGGGAGCAAACAGGG